UCACUGGAGGACUAGUGGUUAGGCCUCGGUGUUCUCACCACCACGGCCCGGGAUCUAUUCCCGGCCCGGGAA